CUUGGGUGCAUUUUUCAUCUAACAAAAUUAAUUUGAUUUACUUGAUCGAUUUAAGUAGAUCGUGAUUCAAAUGGUUUUGGCAGAUGAAGGUUAGAGCCCAAUUCUUUGCCUUGGAACAGAGCAAGUGGUAUUCCUUCGGGGCAAACACAGGGUCACUGAAGCGCCUGGGGUUACGGGCGCCGGGAAGAUCCGCCGCGCCUUGUGCUGUUCCCAAUCCGCAAACCUCCACGGACGUGAGCGCGGCUACUUCCCGGCCAGAGGGCUAAACCAGCGCAGGAUCGGGGUCCCUAACAGCAUUCUCCCGGCUGACCAGCAGCGAAACCUUAGUCUGACCCCCUCGUUGUUGGUUUUCUACACUCUUUAACGUUUUUGCUCCGUGACGCUACAGAAAUGCAGCGGUCUGGUUUCGCAGGGGUGCUGGAAGCCAGCAGCGGAUGGACCGUGUCUGUCUCCGCUUGUCGCCCUGCAAAUUCGGAGGGACCGAGGGAAACGCUCCAGGAGAUCUGCGCCCUGGGGCGACAGGGUCCCCUGGCCAGCGAGAGACACUCGGCAGGAAGGAAUGAGCUGCUGAGAUGUUUCUCUCACAUCUCGCCCCAAGCAAAGUGUUUCAAAAGUCAGCUAAAUCAUGAAGCUGAUGACUCCGAGGAGAUGUCAACCUCUGCCCUCCGCUGUCUCAGAGGCACAAGCGGGAACGCUGCUGGAAGCUUCCUGACCAAUUUGCAUCUGGCUUAUCAGCAAGACACUGCAUCAGAACGCCCCAGCUAAGAGGUGUAAGAAUAACGUGUUUGAAGCAGAAAUGUCUCUGAGACCACUAAUGACUGUCUGCCGGGUCCCUCAUCAGGGUGGAUCGUCAGGAGCGAAUCCAGUUUGCUGCAUUUCCACACCCAGCCCGGUACCCACAACUGCUCCUCGCUGGAGUGCGCCCCAUAUCCUCUGCGCUGCUUCUUCUCUCUGUGCUGUCGGAUGGAACGUACAUAGAAGCUUAUCAGAGUGCUUUUUGUAGGCUCUGCCAACUACCCAGCACUGCACCGUCCACUCAUUUAUCCUCAGCAUCUCCGUGACUGCUGGCAAAGCCUACCGUGCCUUCGAGGGCCGCGGUCCAAAAGGUGCCUGCCUCAUCUGCACGUUAUAAAUGGCACCACGGCAGCUCCCGGCGGGGCCUCGCUGAGCGCCCCAGCGGCCACCGCCCUUGCCCGACACGUCCGGGCCAACACGUCCGAGGCCACGCGGGUCACGCCGAGGCACUGCCGGCCACUGCCUCACCCGGCAGCAGCAGGGCCGGGCCAGGCAGCACAGCCCGCUCCGGGGCGUGG
rnacentral:lncRNA from 1 species